rnacentral:misc_RNA from 1 species
GCAGAAGUGACUCACGAUACCUCUGUGAUUGGAUUACAAAGGGUAGCACUUUCUAUGAUCACAAUUCUUGAUGGAAAGUGACUGUCCAUGUGGUUAUCUCCAUUUCCCAUUUCUUGAACUGGAAUUUUUUUUUUCUUUUUAAAAGGCGCUUUGCACUAUAUGCUGGCAUUUUUUGGGCCUGAUGAUUUUAAUAAUUUAUUUAUCCUUCAAAAGCAUUAAGUAUGAGGAAGCUAUACAUGAAUUGUUUGCUUCAGAUUCUUUCUGUACACAGUUGUCAUUUUUCCCAAUACUAGGCAAAUUAUGAGUUCCUUGCUUUUUGAGUUAAGACAUACUUCCAUAGUUGAGUCAAAUCGUCUUGUUUUGCUAGUCCAUUCCCACUCAUAGUUCUGAUGCAACUUCUAUUAACAAAUUGAUUUUCUGAGAAGGCCACAGGUGGUGGGGC